AUCCCAUGAUGUGGGCACUUCCUUAAUGAUUCCUUAAACCUCUCCCAUGUAUAAUAUAAGGUCUCUUACUCCAAUUGGUAAAAGGAGGAGAUAUCAUUCCUCAUCUU